rnacentral:lncRNA from 1 species
CUCGAAUUCAGGAGCUUCAGUGCCCAUCAUUCACUUGUCCACCUGGAGCUCUCAGACACUCCUAUGGGCUUGGCUUUUCUGCACCUGGGAUGGGGCUUUCCAAGGGCAGCUCGGUAUCCCUGAUUCCUUCAGGCUCACUUCUAAUUUGCACAAAGCUAGACAAUAAUGACUUGGAGAUCACAGGCAGGCACGUAGGAGCACAUCUGGGAUGA